CCUACGGGAGGCAGCAGUGAGGAAUAUUGGUCAAUGGACGCAAGUCUGAACCAGCCAUGCCGCGUGCAGGAAGACGGCUCUAUGAGUUGUAAACUGCUUUUGUACGAGGGUAAACGCAGAUACGCGUAUCUGUCUGAAAGUAUCGUACGAAUAAGGAUCGGCUAACUCCGUGCCAGCAGCCGCGGUAAUACGGAGGAUUCAAGCGUUAUCCGGAUUUGUUGGGGUUAAAGGGUGCGUAGGCGGUCGGAUAAGUUAGAGGUGAAAUUCCGGGGUUCAACUGCGGAAUUGCCUCUGAUACUGUCCGGCUAGAGAGUAGUUGAGGUAGGCGGAAUGUAUGGUGUAGCGGUGAAAUGCUUAGAGAUCAUACAGAACACCGAUUGCGAAGGCAGCUUACCAGGCUACUUCUGACGUUGAGGCACGAAAGCGUGGGGAGCAAACAGGAUUAGAUACCCGGGUAGUC
rnacentral:rRNA from 1 species